GACGAACGCUGGCGGCGUGCCUAAUACAUGCAAGUCGAACGGUUUAGUUCCAAGAGGCUUGCCUUUUGGAACUAGACAGUGGCGGACGGGUGAGUAACACGUAGGCAACCUACCUGUCAAACCGGGAUAACCUCGGGAAACCGAAGCUAAACCCGGAUAAGCUCCUUUUUCGCAUGAAGGGGGAGUGAAAAGGUGCGACCUGAUGACAGAUGGGCCUGCGGCGCAUUAGCUAGUAGGUAGGGUAACGGCCUACCUAGGCGAGGAUGCGUAGCCGACCUGAGAGGGCGUACGGCCAGACUGGGACUGAGAUACGGCCCAGACUGCUACGGGAGGGAGCAGGAGGGAAGCGUCGGCAAUGGGCGAAAGCCUGACCGAGCAACGCCGCGUGAGUGAGGAAGGCCUUCGGGUUGUAAAACUCUGUGGUUUGGGAAGAAGGGAAAGGGUAGGACCCUUUGGUGACGGUACCAAACGGGAAAGCCCCGGCUAACUACGUG
rnacentral:rRNA from 1 species